GAUGAACGCUAGCGGCAGGCCUAACACAUGCAAGUCGAGGGGUAGAGUUAGCUUGCUAACUUGAGACCGGCGCACGGGUGCGUAACGCGUAUGCAAUCUACCUUGUACAGGGGGAUAGCCCAGAGAAAUUUGGAUUAAUACCCCAUAGUGUUAUAGAGUGGCAUCACUUUAUGACUAAAGUUCCAACGGUACAAGAUGAGCAUGCGUCCCAUUAGCUAGUUGGUAUGGUAACGGCAUACCAAGGCAAUGAUGGGUAGGGGUCCUGAGAGGGAGAUCCCCCACACUGGUACUGAGACACGGACCAGACUCCUACGGGAGGCAGCAGUGAGGAAUAUUGGGCAAUGGAGGCAACUCUGACCCAGCCAUGCCGCGUGCAGGAAGACGGUCCUAUGGAUUGUAAACUGCUUUUGUACGGGAAGAAACAUCUCUUCGUGAAGAGACUUGACGGUACCGUAAGAAUAAGGAUCGGCUAACUCCGUG
rnacentral:rRNA from 1 species